AAGAAGGCUUAUCGGAAAUGAUAUACAGUAUCAUAAAGCAGAAUAGCAAGGAAUUGGAGGCGAAGAAACCUAUGCAAUGCGAACUACAAAUUCUUCUCAUCCCUGAUGUAAAACUGGUUUUGCCUGGAAAGCUGCGUUAGCUAUAACUAUGAAUAAACCCAAUGGAACUUUGCGGCAAAAAUGUGCAGAUUUAUCAUGCCAUCAAUGAUGAUAUUUUAGCUGAUAUUGCCAGAGCACAACGAAUAGAACAACGUGAUGACUACGAGUAUUCCAAGGAACCACGAAGUAUACCUAACUUGAAUGCUACCUGUAUAGUCCACUCCAUAGAUAUAUAGAUAUAUAUAUUUACAUAUAGUCUCCUGUUUAGUUAUAUAGUAGUAUGUAUAGCCUAUCUGUAAGCCUAGUAACUUGUCUUGGUAGUCAACUACGCUCGACUUAUCUAAGAAUCUGUCAAAAAUCAAUUGAAAAAGUAUUUCCAUACGUUGAAAAUUAGCUUUACGUCUUUAAUGUAUUAAAAACUAGCUUGUAAAUACAUAUUGUACUUAUA